rnacentral:rRNA from 1 species
AUGGCGGAGGAACCGUCCGCCAAGCGUCAUCAUGCCGAGACGUCGGACAAGAGGAGCAACCUCAUCGACAUUAACGUCCCCGGCGAGAAGCGCGAGUACACAACAACCCUCAAAGGGGUUGAGCUCCACGGCAACGAGACGUUAGAGAUCGUCUGCACUAGCGUACCAGAAAAGGCCGACGAGGUGAUCUCCAGGCUCUGGAUGAAGCUUGGUGGCAGGGUUCGUAGGAUUGUCGGUGUUGGUGUGCACUACACCAACGAAGAUGAACCUCCCCAGAAGGCAGCAGUCCUACAGUUGUGCGUCGACGAACUCUGCUUGGUGUACCACAUCGCAGCGGCCACAAAAUGGUGA